GUCCCCAAGACCACCACCAUGCCCCCACCACCCCCCCACCACCAAAAAAUGAUGUCCCCAGGGCGCCAUCGUGAUAUCCCCAUGACCCCAAGAUGCCGCCACCACCACCAUGACCUCCCCAAGACACCAUCACCACCACCAUGAUGUCCCUAAGCCCCCAAGAUGCCACCACCACCAUGACAUACCAUGUCCCCAAGGCCACCACCAUGUCCCCAAGUCCCCAAGAUUGUCCCCAUGUCCCCAAGAUGCCACCACCACCACCACCAUCAUGAUGUCCCCAUGUCUCCAAGACCACCACCAUGACCCCAAGAUGCCCCCAAGAUGCCACCACCAUGAUGUCCCCAAGACCACCACCAUGACNNNNNNNNNNUCCCCAUGUCCCCAAGAUUGUCCCCAUGACCCCAAGAUGCCACCACCAUGUCCCCAAGGCCGCCACCACCACCACCAUCAUGAUGCCCAAAGUAACAGAAGAAACAGAGAUGCCACCACCAUGUCCCCAAGGCCACCACCAUGACCCCAAGACCACCACCACCCCCUUGACCUCCCCAAGUCCCCAAGACCACCACCAUGAUGUCCCCAAGCCCCCCAGAUGCCACCACCAUGACGUUCCCCAUAUCCCCAAGACACCAUCACCACCACCAUGAUGUCCCCAAGACCACCACCAUGUCCCCAAGCCCCCAAGAUGCCACCACCACCAUGACCUCACCAUGUCCCCAAGUCCCCAAGACCACCACCACCAUGUCCCCAAGAUGCCCCCAAGACGCCACCACCAUCACCAUGACAUCCUCAUGUCCCCAAGAUGUCACCAUGAUGUCCCAAGAUGCCACCACCAUGAUGUCCCCAAGUCCCCAAGAUGCCACCAUGAUGCCCCCAAGAUGCCACCACCAUGUCCCCAAACCCCCAAGAUGCCACCACGAUGUCCCUAAGAUGGCCACCAUGUCCCCAAACCCCCAAGAUACCACCACCACCACCCUGAUGUCCCCAAGGCACCACCAUGAUGUCCCCAAGAUGUCCCCAAGAUGCCACCACCACCACCACCAUGAUGUCCCCAAGCCCCCAAGAUGCCACCACCAUGAUGUCCCCAAGGCCACCACCACGUCCCCAAGUCCCCAAGAUGCCACCACCAUGUCCCCAAGACACCACCAUGAUGUCCCCNNNNNNNNNNCCACCACGUCCCCAAGCCCACCACCACCAUGUCCCCAAGACCACCACCAUGACCCCAAACCCCCAAGACACCACCAUGACGUCCCCAAGGUGACCACCAUGACCCCAAGACGCCCCCAAGACGCCCCCAAGAUGCCACCACCACACCCCCAAUCCCACCACCAACCCCCCCCUCCCCAAAAAAUGAUGUCCCCAGGGCGCCAUCGUGGCGGUGACGGGCGACGGCGUCAACGACUCCCCGGCGCUGAAGAAGGCCGACAUCGGGGUGGCCAUGGGCAUCGCCGGCUCCGAUGUCUCCAAGCAGGCGGCCGACAUGAUCCUGCUGGACGACAACUUCGCCUCCAUCGUCACCGGCGUGGAGGAAGGGCGGUUGAUUUUCGACAAUUUGAAGAAAUCCAUCGCCUACACGCUGACCAGCAACAUCCCCGAAAUCACGCCCUUCCUCCUCUUCAUCAUCGCCAACAUCCCGCUGCCGCUCGGCACCGUCACCAUCCUCUGCAUCGACCUGGGCACCGACAUGGUGAGGGGGGGGCCCAAAAAUGAGGGGGGGGACCCCAAAAAAAAAAAUUGGGAUGUGGGACCCCAAAAAAUAUGGGAGAUGGGGUGGGGAACCUAAGGAACUCUUUGAAAAAAAAAAACUCUUGAGAAUGACCAAAAACCUCUUGAGAUCCCCAAAACUGUCUUGAGAUCCAUGGAUGGGGACCCCAAAACCCUCUUGAGACCAACCAAGACCCUCUUGAGAUCCCCAAAACCCUCUUGAAACCCACGUAGGAGCCCAAAAACCCUCUUGAGACCCCCCAAAACCCUCUUGAGAUCCAUAGUGGGACCCCAAAACUCUCUUGAGAUCCCCAAAACCCUCUUGAGAUCAAAUAAUGGGAACUCCAAAAAACUCUUGAGAUCCCCAAAACCCUCUUGAGAUCCAUGGUUGGACCCCAAAACCAUCUUGAGAUCUGUGGUGGGACCCCAAAACCCUCUGAGAUCUAUAACAGGGACCCCAAAACCCUCCUGAGAUCCCUAAAACCAUCUGAGAUCCAUGGUGGGGACCCUAAAAUACCUGGGAGACGGGAGGACCCCAAAACCCUCUUGAGAUCCCCAAACCCUCUUGAGAUCCAUGGUGGGGACCCCAAAAAUGUAUAUAUAUGGGAGUGUGGGGGCCUCCCAAAAAUGGGUAGAGGGGGUGGGGGGACCCCAAAAAUGUGUAUAGGGGGUGNNNNNNNNNNGAUCUAUAACAGGGACCCC
rnacentral:lncRNA from 1 species